rnacentral:lncRNA from 1 species
AUAUAUAUAAAUUUGAAUAGAAAAUUUUAAUUGUUGUAUUUAAAUUUAAAGUUUAAAUUUAAAUUUUUAUUUUUUUGUAUGUGAGUCACAAUACUAAAAAAAAAAUUGGGAAAAAAAAAAGUUUACUCAUUGGUAAAAUGAACUUAGUUACUAUAAUAGAUAACAUGCUAGUUAUUAUUAAUUAAAAUUAAACAUUAUUAGAGUAUGUUUUCUAUGCUUUCGAAAGCACAGAAGUUUACGUAUUUGUAAGUUAUUUUCGAUAAUAAAACUUUCGAUUCGACGAUCAGUUUCAUUAGUGGGUCCCACAGAAAAAAGAUACAAAAAAAAAUUCGCUCCGCACCGGCUCGCGCGCGCUCCCGCUCGCCAGCAAUCCAUCAAAAUAAGAGAUUCGAAUUAAAAUUAAAAUUUUAAUUUAUAUUUAUAUUUAUUUUUAUAUUUAAAAUUUAAAUUUUUUGUAUGUGAGUUGCAAUACUACAUAAUAAAAACAAAAGUUAGAAAAGGAAAAAGAAGGAGAGAGAGAGAGAGAGAAGUGGAAGUUAGAAAAGAGCAAAAAAAGAAGAGAGAAAGAGAGAGAGGAGUGGAUCCACAGGAUAAAAAAAAAUUAAAAUGAGAGAGAAAAAAAGAGAGGAGCUGAAGUUAGAAAAGGAGAGAGAGAGAGAGAGAGAGAGAGAGAGAGAGAGAGAGAGAGAGAGAGAGUUGUGC